rnacentral:rRNA from 1 species
UACGUAGGGUGCAAGCGUUGUCCGGAAUUAUUGGGCGUAAAGAGCUCGUAGGCGGUUCGUCGCGUCGGCUGUGAAAACCCGGAGCUCAACUCCGGGCCUGCAGUCGAUACGGGCGGACUGGAGUUCGGCAGGGGAGACUGGAAUUCCUGGUGUAGCGGUGAAAUGCGUAGAUAUCUGGAGGAACACCGGUGGCGAAGGCGGCAUCCUGGACCGAGAUUGACGCUGAGGCGCGAAAGCCAGGGGAGCAAACGGG